CUGUCUUAUUUAUAAAAAUUGAAUUUAACUUUUAAGUGAAAAGGCUUAGAUGUUGGAAAGGGACGAUAAGACCCUAUAAAACUUUAUAUAAAGUAAAUUUUUUAUUAUAGUUAUUUGUUUAAUAAGAAAUAAUUUAUUAAUAUUUUAUUGGGGCGAUAGGAAUAUAUAAUUAACUGUUCUUUUAGAAUACAAAUAUUUUUGGUUGGGAAGAUCCUUAGUAGAGAUUAUAAGAUAAAGUUACUUUAGGGAUAACAGCGUAAUCUUUUUUAAGAGUUCAUAUCGACAAAAAGGAUUGCGACCUCGAUGUUGAAUUAAAAUUUCUUUAUGGUGCAGAAGCUAUAAAAGAAAGUCUGUUCGACUUUUAAAAUUUUA
rnacentral:rRNA from 1 species